AUGGGCUGGUUGAGACAGGCUCCAUGGAAAGGACUUGAAUGGGAGGCUGACACAAACUCUGGUUCCAGAGUUCGAUCUGAGGUCCAAUUAGUGGAGUCUGGAGGGGAUGUGAGAAGACCUGGAGAAUCCCUCCGUCUCUCCUGUCAAGCCUCUGGAUUCUCCUUCAGAGGUGAUUGGAUGCACUGGGUGAGACAGGCUCCUGGGAAAGGACUGGAAUGGGUGGCCAUCAUACAUACAGGAUCAUCUCCUUCCACUUACUACCCAGACAAAGUCAAGGGAUGUUUCACCAUCUCCAGGGAUGAUUCUCGCAGCCAGCUGUAUCUGCAAAUGAACAGCCUCAAACUGGAGGAUUCCGCAGUUUAUUACUGUGCGAGAGACACAGAGAGAGGAAGUGAAUCGGAUGCCAAGCAAAAACUAUUUUUUUUCCUCUGA